CGGCCCUUUCAAAGUGAUAAAGCGUUCGACAGCGCGAGGAAGACGCGCGGAUCCGGGCGCGGCGGAUCUGCCGGCCGGUGCGGCGGCUUGCUCCGGUGGCGGCGGCGAUGUCUUGCUCAUCCAGUUAAAGAGAAAGACAGGGUGUGAGGGGGAGAGGAAAGAGAGGAAGGCAUAGAAGGAGAAGUGUCGCAAGAUGAGGGAGGGAUCUCGUAGCUGGUGCGGGGGCUUGCUCGCAGCGGCGUCCGUCUCGUCCAGAGAAAGAGAGAGACAGGGCAUGAGGGAGAGAGGAAAGAGAGGAAGAAAGGAGAAGGAGAAUGGGCGCAAGGUGACGGAGACGGUCGCUGGCGGUGGCGCCUCCGGUGACCGGCCGGCGGCAGGGCGACCUGCACUUGGAGGAGGAGAACUGCGCAAGAUGGAUUCCAGCACCCUCCUACUCAUAUAAUGGAGCUUCAAGACAAAGGGCAUCAGGCUUCACGGCAACACAUUUAUCUAUAACUUUCUCCCCAAAUCUGAAAGUAUUUGGCCCCUAAAUUCUAAUCCUCAUUAGAAAGUCAGAGUAUUUGUGGAAUAUGGUCUAUGAAUAUUGACAAAUUUGAUUGCAGCAGGGGCGACAAAGUUAGUGCAGUCCUCACCGUGCACAUAUAUUUCAGGGUAAAAUCAAACUUCAGUUAGAAGGACAUGAUCAGGCAGGAGAUUCAUGCAGCAUUGGAUGUGAGAGGCCCUAAAUGCAUUUAGCAUGUGAAAAGAUGUGUUUAGUAUUGUUCCAAGUUGUUACCUUUCGAAAAGAGAACGCAACAGGGAUAAUUUUUUCUUCGAAGCACGAGUUAACCACAAGGAAUCUCCAUGCUUUUGCACCGGGUGUGAAAUCAACUUUGAAAAAUUGACAUGGCUAUUGUUUUUGCUUUUCCUGCUCAAGACAACAAAGGGAUUGUUCAGGCUGAUUUGUGUUUGUGCAGACAGACCUCAAGGAACCUCUGCCGAAGAUUUACGUGGUGAAGGACUCGAACUGUAUCUCACGUCCACUCGGCCACACCUGGGUUGGCUGCCAACAGCCCUCUGAUUGAACAACUGCUCCGUCUAUCCGAGUCUCUGUCGGUCGGCUGUUCUUCUCGGACAUCACCAUACAGCUCCUCAGCAGCAAACUCAUGUGCUUCUCCACCAGAAUCAAUUCCCGAGCUGUUGAUAUCCCCUAUUCCUCUAAGGAUAUGCCCAUGGUGAAGCAAAAAAAAAAUCAAGCUUUAUAAGCUCCGCGGCCUCAAGGCCAAUCCCCAGGUUGAUGCCACCGCUACUGACUUUGCCACAUCCCUAUUACAGUUUAAUUUUUAAUUUAUUAGAGAAACUGGAUCAGUGCUUGGGGCUGGUGUGCUACGGUUGGUUUAGGCAUGUGUCCAACAAGGCGGCGGCCACUAUAAGAUACUCUCCUGAGUUAGGACGGGUUUCGAAUUUGCUGCUAUUAUGAGAAAAAAUUAAGAGAGAAAGGAAUGUGAUUUUUGCUGCUACUAUA